rnacentral:rRNA from 1 species
UACGUAGGGUGCAAGCGUUGUCCGGAAUUAUUGGGCGUAAAGAGCUCGUAGGCGGCUUGUCGCGUCGUCUGUGAAAUCCCGCGGCUCAACUGCGGGCUGGCAGUCGAUACGGGCAGGCUGGAGUUCGGUAGGGGAGACUGGAAUUCCUGGUGUAGCGGUGAAAUGCGUAGAUAUCGAGAGGAACACCUGCGGCGAAGGCGGGUUGCUGGGCUGACACUGACGCUGAAGCGCGAAAGCUAGGGGAGCGAACGGG